AUUGAACGCUGGCGGCAAGCCUAACACAUGCAAGUCGAACGAGUGGCGGACGGGUGAGUAAUGUCUGGGAAACUGCCCGGUGGCGGGGGAUAACUACUGGAAACGGUAGCUAAUACCGCAUACUAUCGGAUGUGCCCAGAUGGGAUUAGCUAGUAGGUGGGGUAAAGGCUCACCAAGGCGCCGAUCCCUAGCUGGUUUGAGAGGACGACCAGCCACACUGGAACUGAGACACGGUCCAGACUCCUACGGGAGGCAGCAGUGGGGAAUAUUGCACAAUGGGGGCAAGCCUGAUGCAGCCAUGCCGCGUGUAUGAAGAAGACCUUCGGGUUGUAAAGUACUUUCGGCGGGGAGGCGUUACCCGCAGAAGAAGCACCGGCUAACUACGUGCCAGCAGCCGCGGUAAUAC
rnacentral:rRNA from 1 species